rnacentral:lncRNA from 1 species
AUCUUGGUGUUAUUCGUCGUAAUGAUGUUAGUCUCUUUCAACUCUUUUUUCUUUUUAUCUUUCUUUAUCCAUGAUCUCAGAAGUAUAGCCUGAAAUCAAACACCAUAAGUGGCCACCCCCAUGUGAAUUAAAGGUAAGGUGCUAGGAAAUAUUGUUCAAAUUGGCACAUAGAAACCAAGUAAAACGCAAAUAUUCAUCAAAAUUGACCAUCUUUAUGUGGAUUAAAGUUGAUGAUGGUAGGAAAUAUUAUAGAGAAACCUAGCGAUUUCGGGGGUUUUCUUCCUGUCCUCAUCACAUGAUAUUUAAUUCAAUCUUACAUUCUAGAUCAUUGACCAUUUUCAAUACAUUUGGCUACCCAUCACAUUUCUAUGCAUAAAACAGUAGAAUAUUUGGAAUAAGACCCAGUUAGAGGUCAAUUGGGGUCUCUACUUUCAAGGGAGACAAUUAUUUUAGAAACUCUCCAGAAAUGUGAUUGAUAUUUAUUAUGUACGAAAAUAUUUUAUUUCAACAACUCCAUAGUUUAUACAUAUGUUUUGUGUUUCUUCUGCUUCAGAAUAUUUUUAAGUGUAUAAGGUUUUGACUAUUCUAACACGAGCUUGAUCAAUUGAAAAUUUUUGCUACAGCCCUUUAGUUUGUUCAAAUAAAAAGAGAGAAAAAUUAAGCCAUGCCCAACAUGUGCCUUAUCAUGGAAUCAAUUGUAACUAUAAGUACUAUGAAUUAUUAUGAUUCCUUGUGCCAAAUUAAGAAUAGUUCUAGAUGUUAAUGGUGGACAGACUCAAAUUUUUCUAAAAGAAACGAAGACCAAUCAUUCAUGUAUAUAACCAGGUCAAGUCAAAUGGAGUCAAAAACUAAGAUGGGAAAAGAAAAAACAAAAAAGCCAACUAGGUUUUAUAGUUCCUAUGUUUCAUAUGUUUUAAUAUCUUACUAAAGGACGUUUUUAGGGCUUGAAAAAAUAAUGAAUUGCAUCGUGAGAAGUAUUUAUUGCAUUAAUAUAUGUUUUUGCUUCACGAAACUUUAUUAUAUGCAUUUAAAUAAUCAAACCUUUGAGUCAAAUAUUCAAAUUUUUUUAUAUGAAUGCAAAAUUCCAUAUAUAUAGAACAUUAAGAGGCAUGUUUGACAACUGAUUUUGAGAACAGUUUUAUAUUCUUCAAAACAAAAAAUUAUGAAAACAAGUUUGACAACCAAAAAUUAUUUUCUAUUUUUUAUUUUUAAGAAUAGAAAAUAUGGUCUUUUCAAAUAAUAUAUUUUAGUUAUUUUUAUUGUUUUGACUCUUUUUUUAUUUAAAAAAAUAAUUAUACAAACACGUACAAUGAUUAAAAAUAAAAUAUUUGACAUAAAAAUUAUUAUUAAAACAUAUUUUAAAAUAUUAAAAAUAAAUUAAAAAUAUUUUAGGUUUUCAAACAAACUUUUAAUUUAUAAAACAUUAUAUAACAGUUUUUAAAAACUGUUUUUAAAAAUAAUUACCAAAUUAACCUUUAGUUAUUCUAAAAUAACAUUUUUAAAAAAAUCUAUAGGGUACAUUUGGCAAUAUGACAUUAACAUGUAACUUUGACAUCCCCAAAUUACCUUAUUCAUAAUAGCAAUUUGUUGACCUUUGUAAUAUAUAUUUGAUUUAUUAUGAAUUUGGAUAAGAUUUAAUUUGCACUGGAAUUAAUUAAUGUUUUAAUCCACAGGUACCUUCCUCCUUAUACUUCUUUCCUACCCACAAAAGGUGAUGAACAGUCUUCAGAAAUAUGCAAUGGAGGGAGGAAGAGAAGAAGGGGAAAGAUUGUGGAGAAUUUAAUAUUCUCACAACUAUCGUACCUGGCCAUCUUCAUCAUCCUUAUCUGCAUAACGGAGAGGAGAAAGAUGAAAGAUGAUCCUCUCAACUUCACAGUGUUAAAUAUUGUGAUAGAAGUAAUCAGGUAAUUAGGCUUUAUUAUUCCUUUCCUUUUUUCUUUUUCCGAGAUUAAUAGUUGGGUAGAGUAUGUAAUUUUUCAUUUCUUGAACAUUUAUGAAUGUAAUGCAUCUAAUAUUGUUUACAUGGUAUAUGAAAUCACAUGAUUAUACUUAUUAAUAUUUCACAAAAGUAGUGAAAAAUGAUGUGUGAGUAUUAGAACUCAUUAAAAAGCCACAUAUAUAGCCAAGGUGUUUCUUCAGAAGCAUGAGGUUAUCAUGGGAGAGUGGCCUAUAUCUAUCCACUCCACUAAUUUGUGGUUCAUGUAUCAUCUUCAUUAUAUCAAUUCCAACAACAUCAAUCAUUGCUUAAGGGUGCAUAAUCUAUGGAAAUCCAUCUCUCAAUGUCCAACUUUUGGAUAUGAUUUCAAUUUUCACCUAGCUGAGAGAACACAUGCAUUGAUCUCGAACAUAUGUCAGGACAAACAAUGUUGGGAACCCCACCAAGGGAGCUUGCAAGACCAGUACUUGUCUUCUUUGAAGAGAAUCCAAUUCCUAGUGUUUAAGGUUUUUGGGUUUUAUUCACUACAAAAGCCUUAUGUAUGAUUAUGACUCAAGUAUGUAAAUAUUCCUGUUAUCCACCACCUAAAAAACAAAGCAAUUUCUCCUUGUUUGCCCUGCAUUUGCGUUUGAAUCUAUAUAUACUUACAUGUUGCAAAUGAUUUGCAGUGCCUAUGGAAAUGUUGGGUUUACAGCAGGCUACAGUUGUGAACGGUUGUUGAAACCUGAUAGUAGCUGCCAAAGUAAAUGGUUUGGAUUCUCGGGAAAAUGGAGUGACGAGGGGAAAAUAAUUCUCAUUUUUGUCAUGUUUUUUGGAAGACUAAAGAAGUUUAAUAUGGAUGGAGGUAGAGCAUGGAAGCUCUUGUAAGUUGUAACCAAGAGGCAAAGUCUGAAGGCUAUAUUGAUCUCAUGUAGGAUAUGAAAUGUAAAUCCUUAGCUAUCUACAAUACAUAAAAAGUUGACAGUUGCUUAAUUUUAAUUGAGGAAUUAAUGAGUACUGAUAGGGAUGAAGAAAAGAGAGAUUAAUCGGUCUCGGAGGUAAGCACAAUCUCCUUGUGUUCUUCAAUAGGUAAUUGAACUCCACUCUCUUCACAAAUUUCCCCAAAAUCCAUUUUGAAACAAUCUCCUUUUUUAGAAGAAUCUGAGGCAAACUAAAUUACGUACCAGGCCUAAGAGAUUCCUGAGACCAUUAUUUUUUUCAUUUGUUGGGCCAUGAUGACUAAAAAUAGUGAACAUGUUGAGACCGUUUUUAUAGUAUAUAAUGUAUUGAUCAUGAAACAAUGGCUAUAAAACACUGAUAAAAAAUUGCACAAACUAAACUGAACCGAAAAGAAAUUAAAAGGAAUAGAGGAACUCAUCAAAGAAGCACAAGAGGAUAGGUCUAUAUACGCUCACAAUCAACCGACUAUGGCUAAAGGCUAAAAGACUGUGACCAUAGGUUAUUGUUGCAGAAAAAAAAGACUCUGACGAAGCGUGAUCAUAGAUGGUGCUGAUAAAGCCUAUGAUCAUGAACAAAAGCAAUCCCAUAACCAUAGGUCUAUGGCUAGGGAGAACUAAGUUCCACAACUUAAAAGGUUGCGCUCAUGGCUAUAGGAUUCUCUUGGCCACGACCAAAAGUGGCUCAACAUGUAGACAUUUGGUCAUAUAAUAAUGGAUUUCUUUUGGCUCGUCCAUAGUUGCAUUUUGCAUUGCUCUAUUUCCUCCUAUGACUAUGCUUUGUUCUUUUUUAAAAAAAAAAAAAUUAUUGUAAAUUUAAAAUUGAACUAUUAUGAUGAUUGAUGACUAUGAUUUAUAUAUUAGACUACACUAUUACACUAGACAAUGAUACAAUGUGCAGACUUUAUUCAUUCAUAAAUCAAAGUUACUUUUGGUUUAGGAAUACAAGUAGUAAAAAUUCAAUAUCUGUCUUUAAUGAUGCACCUAUUAUAUAGUAUUUGAAUCAGGGAGGAAGGGAUUUUGGGGAGAAGUUUCAGUUUUCAUCUUUUGGUGAAUCCUUUGGCGAGAAAAGAAAUAAACAGAGAGAGGAGUUUUAGGCAUUGGAAGGAGAGCACCAUCUCCAUCCUUAGAAGGGAGCAGAGUUUACCACCGACAGAGAGGACUUUGGGCAUUUUUUUUAGGAGAGGCAAAUAGGAGCCUAGGGAAUUUUCUUACUUGAUUUUUUUUUUUUUUUUUUUUUUUUUUUUGGAGAAAAGCACUUCUAGGUACGUUUGCUAAACCACACAUGUGUUGCAAUCAAUUUUCUUUGGGUUGUUGUACCAUAUUGUAACAGAUUCAUGUUCUUCCAUUUUCACAUUAUUCUGAUAUGUUUCUUGUAGUAUCAUUUUGAUGAUUGGCUAUGGACAUUAUAAAUCAUGUAUGUUUUUAUGGAAUUCUAGACCAUCUAUAUGUAUUUUCUGUUUGGUUAUUCUGUUUCUAUGGAAUAUGAAAUUAUACUUUAUUUCUUUGGCUUCGUUGUGGUGUUCUCUACAAGACUUAUGUAAUCAUAUUUUUUAUUCAUAUAAAAAAAUAUUGAUGAGAAAGAGGGUUGUAGAGAGAAAAAUGGUUUUCUAUUAUGUUUUCACGGUUUUCUCUAUUCAGAAUAGAGAUAUUUAUACAUCUUCUAGUCACGCUUUUUGUGAGUGUUGCUUAUAUUUAAAAAAUAUAAAAUGUGAUUACAUUGAGAGAAGGAACAUGUCACCACCCUCAAUACAUUGUCUUUUUACUUCCCCUCAAGCUGAGUGUGGCUGGUGAAACAACGCUAAGCUUGCUCUUGAAUCGUUCAAAGAGAGUUGCUGAUAAGGGCUUUGUCAAAAUGUCGAUAACUUGAUCUAAAGAGGGAACAUGUUGAACCAGUAACUACUUAGCCAUUACUUUUUCUCUAACCAAAUACAAAUCUAGUUCCAUAUGCUUUGGUCGUGAGUGCAAUAUUGGAUUAGUUGACAAAAAAAAAAAAAGAUGGAAAAGGUGGACUGUUAAGGGAAAAAGCAUUGAAAAGGAUACAUAGAGAUGGAAUUGAAGGAGGAAUAGGUGGAUAAGCAAAAAGUAGAACAGAAACAAUUGGUUGUGUAGUAGUAGAUAAAGAAGGAGAGGAAGAGUGAAUUCCAUGAAACGAAAAAAUAGUUUCAUUGAAAGUGACAUUCUUAGAGAUAUACACUCAACCAUGGGAGACAAGACAUUUAUAGCCUUUAUGAGAUGGACUAUAACUAAGGAAUGCAUAGGGAAGAGAUCUGUCCUCAAGUUUGUGAUAAUUGUUAAGGUCGAAUGUAAAGGAAACAUUGAUAAUCAAACACCUUGAACUCAAAGUAGUUGGGUUUAAUUUUAAAAAGGACUUCCAAUGGACUUUUGUUGGCAAGAAUGGAAGUGAGAAAGCCUAUAUAUUAAUGAUGUGACUAGCAGUGGUAAAAGCUUCAUCCUAAUAUUGAAUGGGAAGGUUGGCUUGAGCAAGGAGAGUGAGACCUUUCUCAAUAGUAUCUCUAUGAUUUCUCUCUACAACCCCAUUUUGUUCAAGGGUGUGAGGACAUGAGAGUUGAUGAAUGACUCCAAAAAUUGGAAAUGGUGAAGUAAGAGAACGAAAUUCUCCACCCCAAUCUAUUCUAAGACUUUUCAAUUUGCAAUUAAAAUGAAGUUCAGCUUGUGUUUUGAAAUUAUAAAAAGCUGAAUACACUUUAGAUUUAGCUUUAAAGAAGUAAAGUCAUAUGAAUCUGUAAUAUGCAUCUAUAAAACUCACAAAAUAAUGAAAACCAUUGGAUGAGAGGGUGGGGGCAGGGCCCCAGAGACGUACAUCUGAGUUAAUAAGCAUUAAUGGAGUGUGAUAUGUAGAAUAUGAAAUUGGACAAGGUAACUUAUGGCUUUUUCCCAAUUGACAAGCUGUGCAAAAUGAAAAUUCUUAUUUCUUGAAAAUUUUCUUUUACAUUAAUCCAGAACAAUUUUGACAAUCUUAUCAACUGGAUGGCUAAGUCUUUGAUGUCAAAGACCAAUACUAGACAUGCAGAUUUGAUUACAAUGAACUAAAUUUGAAUUGGAACUGGAGCAUAAGCUAGCUGUGUAAACUCUAGAGACCGAAGGACUUGAAAACUGAGUUGGUGAAGAUGAAGCUGGAAUGUGAUGAUAACCGGGUAGACUAGUGAAAAACUGGUUUAAAGGAAAUGAGAGCUUGGGAAGAUGAAAUUGAUGAAGUCCAUCCUUAAGAAUCCCUUUGAGUACAAUGGCUCAUAUGACCAUAUCCUUUACAAAACAAAGAGAAGAAUGAAACUCAAAAUAAACAUCAUUAUCCUUGGCAAAUUGUGAAACAUUGAUGAGAUUUUUGGUGAUAUUUGGAACAUGUAAAAGAUUUCUAAGAAUGAAGGAUUUAGAAGAGUAAGGACUUGAAAAAUAUGAAUGUCCAACAUGUGAAGUAACCAAACCUGUACGACCCACAUGUAGCUUAUUAGAGCUCGGAUAAUCAGUGUCAAUGUUCAGAUUGCUGAAUUCAUUGGUGACUUGAUUUGUACACCAGAAUCUAGAAACCAAACCCCAUCAUCUUGAGUAUUAGGUGCUACAACAAUAGCUUGCAUUGCUAGAAGAUCCUGAUGUAGUAGCACCAGUAUGUGAGUGUGAAUGGUAAUCAGAGAAACCAAUGAAGAAUGGGUCAAAACAAUGGUAACAUUUGAGAAAAAUGUGACCCAUCUUCCCACAAAGUUGACACUGAGGCUUGGCACUGUUUCUGCCACCAUAUCCUUGACCUUUGGCUCCUUUACUGCCAUGAAAUUUGGUGCCCGAAUGGCCAUGAAAUGACCCCAAGUUUUGAGAUGAAUUUCCUUGAGUAGGAUGAGAGAAUUUCUUUUGUGGAUUUUGAUAGGCGACAUUAGCUGUUGGGAUGACACUGGAGGCAUGGAUAUUAUAUUGCUCAAGUUGUUUCUCAUGUGCAAACAGGCCAAUUACAUCAGUUAGUUUGUAGGCAUUCAAAUUAGAUGUAAUUUGCACAGUGAUGGAUUCAUAAUCAUGUCCUAACCCAGCAGUAAUAGCAAGAAUCUGAUCCCUUAUGGAUAGAAUAUCAUCGAUUAAGGCAAAUGAAUCCAUAAUAGUCUUCAUUUUAUUCAAAUAAUCCCUCAUAGCUAAACCACCCUUUUGUAAAUUUUGCAAUUCAGAUCUAAAUUGCAUUAUAUGUGUUCCAUUUUGAGCAGCAAAAUAUUGAGUCAAGGCAGUCCAAAUCUCAUGAGAAGUACUGGAUCCAACCAAUUAGGGAAGAAUACUUACAGAGAUUGAGCCAAAAAGCCAGGAAACGAUCAACAUAUCUUGACGUUGCCGUUAUUCAUAAUCUGGGUUGAGGAGGACCUGAGAUAAACCUUCAAUAGGAUUUAAAUUCAAACAAAAUUGAGGUGGACAAAGAAAAGUGCCUAAAGUAUGACCAUCAAGCCCUAGUCCAUGAAUUGUAGCAUAGAUCUGUUGCUUCUAUAGGAGGAAGUUAUCCUCAUCAAGCUUCAUUGCAAUUGGUUGUGUGGCUGGAUUCACAACUUGUAUCAUGGAAGAUGAUGAACCAGAGGGUCUUGAUACAGUUAUUUUACUAGACGAUGACAUUUGGGUGGAAUCAAUGGAAGAGGGGUUUGUCAUUGAAGAUGAAAUGACUCUAAUACCAUGAUGAGAAAAAGGGUUGUAAAGAGAAAAAUGGUUUUCUAUUCUGUUUUCUAGGUUUUUACUACUCAGAAC